rnacentral:rRNA from 1 species
CACACGUGUUACAAUGGCAGGUACAGAGGGGUGCUACCGGGUGACCGGAUGCCGAUCUCGAAAACCUGUCCCAGUUCGGACUGGAGUCUGCAACCCGACUCCACGAAGUUGGAUUCGCUAGUAAUCGCGCAUCAGCCAUGGCGCGGUGAAUACGUUCCCGGGCCUUGUACACACCGCCCGUCAAGCCAUGGGAGCCGGGGGCGCCUGAAGUCCGGGACCGCGAGGACCGGCCUAGGGCGAAACUGGUGACUGGGGCUAAGUCGUAACAAGGUAAC